GGUUAAGUUAGAAAGGGCGCACGGUGGAUGCCUUGGCACUAGGAGCCGAAGAAGGACGGGACUAACACCGAUAUGCUUUGGGGAGCUGUACGUAAGCGUUGAUCCAGAGAUUUCCGAAUGGGGGAACCCACUAUCUUUAGUCGGAUAGUAUCCUUACGUGAAUACAUAGCGUGAGGAAGGCAGACCCAGGGAACUGAAACAUCUAAGUACCUGGAGGAAGAGAAAGAAAAAUCGAUUUCCUGAGUAGCGGCGAGCGAAACGGAAAGAGCCCAAACCAAGAAGCUUGCUUCUUGGGGUUGUAGGACACUCUAUACGGAGUUACAAAAGAAAGUUAUAAAUGAAGCGGUCUGGAAAGGCCCGCCAAAGACGGUAACAGCCCGGUAGUUGAAAUAGCUUUCCCUCCAGAGUGGAUCCUGAGUACGGCGGAACACGUGAAAUUCCGUCGGAAUCCGGGAGGACCAUCUCCCAAGGCUAAAUACUCCCUAGUGACCGAUAGUGAACCAGUACCGUGAGGGAAAGGUGAAAAGCACCCCGGAAGGGGAGUGAAACAGUUCCUGAAACCGUGUGCCUACAAGUAGUUAGAGCCCGUUAAUGGGUGAUAGCGUGCCUUUUGUAGAAUGAACCGGCGAGUUACGAUUUGUUGCAAGGUUAAGCGGAAAAAGCGGAGCCGUAGCGAAAGCGAGUCUGAAUAGGGCGCAUAAGUAACAGGUCGUAGACCCGAAACCAGGUGAUCUACCCAUGUCCAGGAUGAAGGUAAGGUAAUACUUACUGGAGGUCCGAACCCACGCACGUUGAAAAGUGCGGGGAUGAGGUGUGGGUAGCGGAGAAAUUCCAAUCGAACUUGGAGAUAGCUGGUUCUCUCCGAAAUAGCUUUAGGGCUAGCCUCGAGGUAAAGAGUCAUGGAGGUAGAGCACUGUUUGGACUAGGGGCCCUUCUCGGGUUACCGAAUUCAGAUAAACUCCGAAUGCCAUGUACUUAUACUCGGGAGUCAGACUGCGAGUGAUAAGAUCCGUAGUCGAAAGGGAAACAGCCCAGACCACCAGUUAAGGUCCCCAAAUAUAUGUUAAGUGGAAAAGGAUGUGGGGUUGCUUAGACAACCAGGAUGUUGGCUUAGAAGCAGCCACCAUUGAAAGAGUGCGUAAUAGCUCACUGGUCGAGUGACCCCGCGCCGAAAAUGUACCGGGGCUAAACAUAUUACCGAAACUGUGGAUGAACCUCUUUAGAGGUUCGUGGUAGGAGAGCGUUCUAAGGGCGGUGAAGUCAGACCGGAAGGACUGGUGGAGCGCUUAGAAGUGAGAAUGCCGGUAUGAGUAGCGAAAGAAGGGUGAGAAUCCCUUCCACCGAAUAUCUAAGGUUUCCUGAGGAAGGCUCGUCCGCUCAGGGUUAGUCGGGACCUAAGCCGAGGCCGAUAGGCGUAGGCGAUGGACAACAGGUAGAGAUUCCUGUACCAGUGCUAAUUGUUUAACCGAUGGGGUGACACAGAAGGAUAGGGAAUCGCACGAAUGGAAAUGUGCGUCCAAGCAGUGAGUGUGAGAAGUAGGCAAAUCCGCUUCUCGCGAAGCAUGAGCUGUGAUGGGGAAGGAAAUUAAGUACGGAAGUUCCUGAUUUCACGCUGUCAAGAAAAGCCUCUAGGAAGAGUAGUACUGCCCGUACCGCAAACCGACACAGGUAGAUGAGGAGAGAAUCCUAAGGUGAGCGAGAGAACUCUCGUUAAGGAACUCGGCAAAAUGACCCCGUAACUUCGGGAGAAGGGGUGCUCUAUUAGGGUGCAAGCCCGAGAGAGCCGCAGUGAAUAGGCCCAGGCGACUGUUUAGCAAAAACACAGGUCUCUGCAAAACCGUAAGGUGACGUAUAGGGGCUGACGCCUGCCCGGUGCUGGAAGGUUAAGAGGAGUGCUUAGCUUCGGCGAAGGUACGAAUUGAAGCCCCAGUAAACGGCGGCCGUAACUAUAACGGUCCUAAGGUAGCGAAAUUCCUUGUCGGGUAAGUUCCGACCCGCACGAAAGGCGCAACGAUCUGGGCACUGUCUCAACGAGAGACUCGGUGAAAUUAUAGUACCUGUGAAGAUGCAGGUUACCCGCGACAGGACGGAAAGACCCCGUGGAGCUUUACUGCAACCUGAUAUGGAAUGUUUGUACCGCUUGUACAGGAUAGGUAGGAGCCGAAGAGACGUGUGCGCUAGCAUACGAGGAGGCAAUGGUGGGAUACUACCCUGGCUGUAUGACCAUUCUAACCCGCCACGCUUAGCGCGUGGGGAGACAGUGUCAGGUGGGCAGUUUGACUGGGGCGGUCGCCUCCUAAAGAGUA
rnacentral:rRNA from 1 species